rnacentral:lncRNA from 1 species
CCUUGCUGUGGACAUUUGCCUCUCUCAACUGCCAACCAUCAUCGAAGAGGGAACUGCCUUCAGGCACAGCCCAUUCUUUGCUGAGCAGCUGACGGCAUUCCAGGUGUGGCUCACCAUGGGUGUGGAAAACAGGAGCCCCCCCGAGCAGCUGCCCAUCGUCCUACAGGUGCUGCUAAGCCAGGUGCACCGGCUGAGAGCCUUGGACUUGCUGGGACGAUUUUUGGACUUGGGCCCUUGGGCGGUGAGCUUGGCCCUGUCGGUGGGCAUCUUCCCCUAUGUACUGAAGCUGCUUCAGAGCUCGGCCCGAGAGCUGCGGCC